rnacentral:rRNA from 1 species
UCAGAAACUAUCAAACUAGAGAAUGACAGAGGCAACUAGAAUUCUGCAUGUAGGGGUAAAAUCCGUUGAUAUGCAGAGGAAUACCAAAGGCGAAGGCAGGUUGCUAGGUCAUUUCUGACGCUGUUGCACGAAAGCGUGGGGAGCAAACAGGAUUAGAUACCCUGGUAGUCCACGCCGUAAACCAUGGAUACUCGAUUUAAGAGGGACUCGACCCCCUCUUGAGUCCAAGCAAACGCGUUAAGUAUCCCGCCUGGGAAGUACGGUCGCAAGAUUAAAACUCAAAGGAAUAGACGGGGACCCACACAAGCGGUGGAGCAUGUGGUUCAAUUCGACGAUAAACGAGGAACCUUACCAAGGCUUGACAUCUCCGGAAUCCUCUGGAAACAGGGGAGUGCCGCAAGGAACCGGAUGACAGGUGCUGCAUGGUCGUCGUCAGCUCGUGCCUUGAGGUGUUCGGUUAAGUCCGUAAACGAGCGCAACCCAUGUCCUGUGUUGUAUUUCUCACAGGAGACUGCCGGCUCCAAGUCGGAGGAAGGUAUGGAUGACGUCAGAUCAGCAUGGCCCUUAUGCCUUGGGCCACACACGUGCUACAAUGGCCGGUACAAUGGGCAGCUAACCCGCAAGGGGGAGCAAAUCCCACCAAAGCCGGUCACAGUUCGGAUUGAGGGCUGCAAUUCGUCCUCAUGAAGUUGGAAUCGCUAGUAACCGUGAAUCAGCCAUGUCACGGUGAAUAUGUUCCUGGGUCUUGUACUCACCGCCCGUCACAUCAUGAAAGGUGGGGGUACCCG